GCGGCGGCAGCAGCCGCGGUGGCGGCGUGGGGAACAUCUAGGCAGCCACCGCGCUUCUCGCGCUGGAGCGGGCGUCCAGCUUGGCUGCCCUCGGUCCUUCCCUGCCACGUUUCGGGUCGCCCCGCGCCCCCCACGCAGGCUAGCUUCUCUUCAAAGCGGGAAGGGCGCCUUGCAGGAUCCCGCCGCCCCUCCACCCGGAUCCCAGGUCUGGCGCUCCCCAGAGCGAGGCGCUCGCCGGGACUCCUGCCCCGCCAACCCUGACCGCCGGGGGGUGCCCCAGGGACGUAGCGCCGCGGAGAGGAAGAGGCAAAGGGGACCAUGCGGCGCCUGACUCGUCGCCUGGUUCUGCCAGUCUUCGGGGUGCUCUGGAUCACGGUGCUGCUGUUCUUCUGGGUAACCAAGAGGAAGUUGGAGGUGCCGACGGGACCUGAAGUGCAGACCCCCAAGCCUUCGGACGCUGACUGGGAUGACCUGUGGGACCAGUUUGAUGAGCGGCGGUAUCUGAAUGCCAAAAAGUGGCGCGUUGGUGACGACCCCUAUAAGCUGUAUGCUUUCAACCAGCGGGAGAGUGAGCGGAUCUCCAGCAAUCGGGCCAUCCCGGACACUCGCCAUCUGAGAUGCACGCUGCUGGUGUAUUGCACGGACCUUCCACCCACUAGCAUCAUCAUCACCUUCCACAAUGAGGCCCGCUCCACGCUGCUCAGGACCAUCCGCAGUGUAUUAAACCGCACCCCUAUGCAUCUGAUCCGGGAAAUCAUAUUAGUGGAUGACUUCAGCAAUGACCCUGAUGACUGUAAACAGCUCAUCAAGUUGCCCAAGGUGAAAUGCUUGCGCAAUAAUGAACGACAAGGUCUGGUCCGGUCCCGGAUUCGGGGCGCUGACAUUGCCCAGGGCACCACUCUGACUUUCCUCGACAGCCACUGUGAGGUGAACAGGGACUGGCUCCAGCCUCUGUUGCACAGGGUCAAAGAGGACUACACGCGGGUGGUGUGCCCUGUGAUCGAUAUCAUUAACCUGGACACCUUCACCUACAUCGAGUCUGCGUCGGAGCUCAGAGGGGGGUUUGACUGGAGCCUCCACUUCCAGUGGGAGCAGCUCUCCCCAGAGCAGAAGGCUCGGCGCCUGGACCCCACAGAGCCCAUCAGGACUCCUAUCAUAGCUGGAGGGCUCUUCGUGAUCGACAAAGCUUGGUUUGAUUACCUGGGGAAAUAUGAUAUGGACAUGGACAUCUGGGGUGGGGAGAACUUUGAAAUCUCCUUCCGAGUGUGGAUGUGCGGGGGCAGCCUAGAGAUCGUCCCCUGCAGCCGAGUGGGGCACGUCUUCCGGAAGAAGCACCCGUACGUUUUUCCUGAUGGAAAUGCCAACACGUAUAUAAAGAACACCAAGCGGACAGCUGAAGUGUGGAUGGAUGAAUACAAGCAAUACUAUUACGCUGCCCGGCCAUUUGCCCUGGAGCGGCCCUUCGGGAAGACAGGCUGUGCUUCCUGCUGUGGUCUCCAUCCCUCCACCUGUACUCCGGAUGCACCAUUCAUCGCUGCAUUCAUUCAUAAAUCAACAUUUAUCGAGUUCCCACUGCCUGGAUUCAUCUCCUCUUGCCUCCUGGCGCAGGGCCUCUCAAACAUUAAUGGGCAAGCAGAUUUCCUGGGGAUCUUGUUAAAACGAAAAUUCUGACUCUGGAGGUCUGUAUUUCUAAUAAGCUGCGGGUGAUGCAAUGCUCCUGGCCUGAGUGCCACAAUUCGAGAAGCAAGGUUCUACCAAGGAAGUUCCCAAACUAGUCUGCAUAUGGGAGUCCCCUGGGGAGUUUCAAACUGACUGCAGUCUGUGCCCCUCCUCCAGAAAGUUGGUUUACUUGCUCUGGGGUGUGGCCUGGGAUGUGGAAUUUUUCUGAAGACCCCACACCAGGUGAUUCUAACAUGGGGACAAGUUUGGGAACCACGCUCCUUAGGGGGCUUUGCCCUCUGGGUGCCUCUACUCUCUCCUUGAUCCCUGAUCUCUCCUCUGCUGUAUUAUUCCCAUCACCAUUUAAACUUAUUAAAUGUCUUACAUCUUAAAAAAAAAAAUAGGAGGGGAAGGAAAGAAAACAAACUACAAAAACGCUCCUUCAGUCCAACAUUGCUCAUCAUCCACGCUCUGUCUUUUCCAAUCCUCCAGUGCCCAGCUUCGUGAAGCAGUGGUCUGCUUUCCUCUCUCCACUCCCCUCCUCGCUCCUGGCCCGCAAGCCCUGAGACUGCUCCCACCUGGCUCCCUCGUGACUUCCUUGCACCCUGUACUGUCCUCUUACGCUGCCCCAUCAGCAUGAAUCUUCUCCCUCCCCCAGCCCCUCUGCUGUUCCCCCGGUCCCUAGGCUUCCAGAACUCUGCAGGCAUGGUGUUUCUUCUGCUGCUAGGCACUGCUUGUUUGGUCCCAUUUGCAGGCUGUUUCCUCUUCCUACUCCUCGUAUGGUGGUCUUGCCGGAAGGUCCGUUAGAAAGCCUCUUCUGACUACAUAUUCUCCCUGGCAUUAAGCACUAUAUCUCUGCUGCUGAUAUUUGCAUCUCUAUUUAUUAGCUAAACCUAUCCUUUGAGCUCCAAUUCCUUCUAUCCAAUUAUCAACUGGACACCUCCACCAGGAUGUCUCCCUGGCGCCUCCAACUCAACAAGUCCUAAACUGAACUCAUGACAUUUGCUCCUAAACUUACUCCUCAUCCGAUAUUUCCCAUCUCCAUGAAGAGUUUUCCUUGCACCUGUUGCCCAAGUCAGAAAUCUAGGUGUCAACCUUGAAUCCCUCUCCUUCUCUUUCCCAUCCAAAUGAUCACCAAGUCUUGGUAACACUGUACCAUCACACAGUGAGCACGCAGGCCCUUGCUAAACACCCAGUAUUCAGCAUUUUAGAAACCUGUCAUCCUUCCCAUCCCGAUGGAGCUUAGAGUCUGGUGAUGAGCUGUGGUUGGUGCUCUGUAAGAAGAAGUUCUACUGCAAUCUUGAGGUGGGGAGUGGAAGGAAGUGAGCUGGACAGGAAGCAAGACCAGCUCUAUGUGUCUGCCCAGGAAGAACAAGACAUGGAUGUAACUUAGUGUUGAGAGCAGAUUGGACCUGAGGAAGAAUCUGCGCUGCCAGAGUUUCAAGUGGUACCUGGAGAAUGUCUACCCUGAACUCAGCAUCCCCAAGGAGUCCUCCAUCCAGAAGGGCAAUAUCCGACAGAGAC